rnacentral:rRNA from 1 species
GACUACAUGAAGCUGGAAUCGCUAGUAAUCGCGAAUCAGCAUGUCGCGGUGAAUACGUUCCCGGGUCUUGUACACACCGCCCGUCACACCNUGGGAGUUGGAAAUGCCCGAAGUCAGUGACCCAACCGAAAGGAGGGAGCUGCCGAAGGCAGGUUCGAUAACUGGGGUGAAGUCGUAACAAGGUACC